rnacentral:tRNA from 1 species
GAGGGUAUAGCUCAGUGAUAGAGCAUAUGCCUAACAUGCAUGAAGUUCUGGGUUCAAUCUCCAAUACCUCCA